GGCCUUCUCGUCGCGGCUGGGGGGCUCCCGGGGCGCGCCGGGGCUGCUCAUGGCUGUCGGGCAGGACCUUUACUGUUACUCCUACAGCUAAUUCUGCAGGGCACAGCCCAGAGCCAUGUGGAUUUGACUUACGGGAGUAAAGCGUAACUUUUUACUGCAUCUAAUGAGGGCGUUUUAAGUGACACUCAGUGUACACAGAUCCCAUCCUCUGGCUGCUAGGAGAGAAGUGCUGAAUGUUCCAUGUGGAGACGCUCAGGAAAGUUAUUUGAGUUAAAUUGCUGGCUCAGAGAGCUUGGAAGUCCUUUUCAUAAAAGGACUGAAGAUUGGCAAAAACGAAAAGCUUCUUCCUCCAAGAGCCCAUUGGAGAAGCCCAGUGAUGAGACGGUGAGAUGGUUUGAGUCCUCGGUGCCUGGGUAGCAGGAAGAAAGACCUGCAUCCUGCAUCUGUACUUGGGGAAGCCAGCGGAGAGGACGGGGAGGUUACUUCUCUAAGUUUCUGCAGAAAUAUUGAAGGCUGGAGUUUGGAAUCCUUAAACUUGGCCUUCUCAAACUCAGCAGCAGAUCUCCGGGAUUCUCCUGU
rnacentral:sRNA from 1 species